AUGAAGUCAACCAUCUGCUCCAGUUUCUUCAGGUUUCCAAGUUAUAACUUGAAGCUGAAAGAUAUCAUCUGGAUGCAACCAAGCUCUCCUGCUGUCAGAACCCUGGAGAGGAAGGAUGUACUCACAUCCCAACAAACUGAAAAUGCUGACCAGUCCCAGCACAGCCAACUUGAAUUUGCUCCUCUAUCAAAGUGCCCAGCACCUCAUUUCUUCCUCUUUAGAAUUUAUAGGUAAGAGUCAGCAGUCCACCAGGACUCCGUAAAUACAGGGUACACAGGAGAAGCUCCUGUUGGGGCCACG
rnacentral:lncRNA from 1 species